rnacentral:piRNA from 1 species
UUCAAAGUCAUAUGCUGAUAGUUUGAUA